AGAACGGAGUGUAUUUGUUGCCUUCCUUCACAACAUGGACACAUAUUCCAGCUCUGCAGAAGAUGGGAAUGUGUCCCACUCCAAUUCCAAGCUGGGCCCAGAAUCACAUCCAGUCACUUAAACAGCAGAAGAUUCUGUGAUACCCUCACCAACAGACACACAGGUAUGGUCAGAAAUUGACCAUGCAUCUCCAACCAGCGAAUGUGUACCACCACUGGAAAGAACGGAGUGUAUUUGUUGUCUUCCAAAUCAACAUGGACUAGGGUUAGGGUUCUUAACAUGAACGACACCGAAAUGGACCAACUUGCUGAUAUCCUGGGACAUGAUAUUCGUAUCCACAGGAAAUAUUACAGAUUACCCGAGGGAACACUAUUAACAGGAGUGCGUUGAGCCUGAUCCUGGGAUGGAGAGUGAAACAGAACUGUCAGAUCAUUCUCAUGACGUGACGUCAAGUGAGACAGCAGGCACUUCAGGAGUGAAUAGCAGCAGGCCAGUAAACACGAAUGAAGGAUCUCCAGAGAGGUCACGGGAGGUCAUGAAAGUAACAUCAGUUCCUAGGAAGAGAAAGUGGAGUGAGGUGGAGAUUGCGGCUGUAGAAGAGACAAUGAUGAAAUUUAUUCACUCGGGAGUUACACCUGGAAAAGUCGACUACAUUGCAUGCAUUACAGCAGCCCCCAAAGCCCUCUGUGAACGAGACUGGCAGGCGGUGAAGUAUUAUAUAAAAAACAGAAUCACAGCAU